CCUAACCCUCCACUUCCUCCUAAACGGCCAAAUAGUCUAAAAAUUAGACUUCCUAAUUAAAUAACAAAAUAAUAUGUUAGAGGUGAGCAAGUGCCAUUCAAACAAAUUUGUCAAUUUUUAUUAAUGUAGUUUAAAACUUUAAUGCGUUGAUUUAGAAAAACUUCAAUUUAGGUCAAGUGAUAAAAUUCUAAAUUGUAGAAUUUAAUCUAAAAGUAGAAAUCUUUUGGGAAUUGUUUUUAAAAAUGACCCAUGAACAACGUGAAUUAACCAGCUAAUCAUAAGGUUGUGUUGGUUUUUUUUCUUCAAGAAAACUAAAAUUCAUUAAAUUGAUAAUCAAGAAUAAGUAAAUAUAAUGUCUAUUUUUCAUUUUAUUUGGGAAUUAGUUGUUAAAUGUUCUAUUCUGAAUAUUUUGAUUAUUAGAGAAUUUUUAAUUGUAAUGAUUUAUUUUAAAAAAUUUAUAAUAUUAUUAUUUUUGAAUAAUUUAUUAUUAAUAUCUUAUUCUUUUAUAUAAAUAUGAAAGUUUUUUUAAUCAUUAUCUCACUUGUUUAACCAACUUAAUUAUACGUGACAUUCAUUUUUAGUUGAAACAUUCUCUAUUUAUAUUUUAAGAUAAAAAGUAAAAAAAUUAACAAUACACAAAAAUAUUUCAGAAACAAAUAAUAAAUAUCUCUUUUACAUAGACCAAUUAAAUUUGAUUGAAUAUCUAGAUACCAAAUUUGGUCAUAACCGAUCAAAUUUUACCCGUAAUCACCUCAAAAUUAUAACACAUAUUAGUAUAUGACAAUAUAGCUUACAAGAGACUUUGCAGAAGAGAUUGUGAGAACUGGGAAGUUCUUAUAAUUGUUACGAUUUUUCUUUUCUCAAAGAAUAAGAAAAAUUUGCUUUUGCACUUUAAUUAGUACUAAAAAUUGGCUAUUCAACAUGAAUGUAUAGUUAGGAGGUUGAUGACAUUUAAAUUAAUAUUAAAAGUAAGCAAACUAAUCAAAAUGAAUAAAGGACUAUCAUUCUUGGCGUGCAGUGUGCACAUAGAGUUCAUCCUCUUACCAAUUUUGACUUUAAUGGGUAAAAUACUGAUUUUGCAAUAUAGUAUUUCCUCUCACAUAUAUAUGCAAUUAAAGUUUCCAUUCUUUUGUUUUUGUUUUCCUUUUUCUUUGUUAUGUUCUCUCUUUUUUUUGUCAAUAAAAAUUUACUUUUCUAGCUUAAAAAAAUGCAAUUAAAGUUGUGUUCAGUCUUGUAAAAUCGUCUAAGUCAUUUGUUGAUUUAAUUUGCAAGAUGCAUUGCUUAUUUUUGGACCAUAGUAUAUUAUUAUUUACCAUUACUAAUCACGUAAAUGGGAACUAACAAUUAAAGUUUGGGAAAAUUAAUGUGGGUUUCUAAUAUUUUUUAAUGAUUUUAGAUAAAUAUAAAUGGGAGAUUUUUUUAUUUCAGCUCUGCAAAAUGGUUCUCUCACAUAGCCUUGUUUGAUUGAGAGGGGAAAGAAAACAAUACUAGCAAAACUCUUCAUUUUGUGGAUCAUAUAUUCAAGAUUUUAUUUGCAGUCGAACUUUUCUUUUAUACGUCAUCUCACUAUACUUGAUUAUUUGAAAUAUAAAUAUAAAUGUCACUAGCCAAAAAAUAAAAAAUGUCACAGUGUUUCUUCUCCCACCUUAAAUAUUCUCAAAUACACAUUUAAAUUGAUUAAUUCGAACAUAUAAAAUACAAUUUAAAAUUAAUAAAUUCGAACAACAUUUAAGAGUUUUUGAGAAGAAUUGAGAUGAGAAAAUAAACUUUUAAAAUAUGAAUAUGUUUAAAAUUUAGAUAAAAAAUUGAGUCAAAGAAAAAAAAAACAAGAAAAUAGAAGUGAGAGUUAGAGGAACUAAACCUUAAUUACUUAAUAGAAUAUCAUACAUUAUGCCAUACAAAACAAACAAAACACAACUAUAGUUUAUAUAGAAGCUUACACAGAUUAAUUACUUUAUAAAUACCCCAUCUCUUAUUCUACAAAUGCAGCACAAGUGCUAUAACUCUUCAUUUCUCACCUCAUCAGUCUCCUCCAAAUCAACUAUGCGGCUGGCGCUAUAUCGAUAUCGCCAUCAUCAUCGUCGCCAUCCUUCUCGCUUCGGCCGGAAAAGUGGUGGAAUUUGGUUGCAGCCAAGUCAUUUCCCAUGAGGAACAUAGGAAGACCAGAUUCCAUGGAACUUAAGACCACCAUUUUGCAGCACAAAAAUGUUCUAAAGAAUAUUAAAGUGUUUUGGUUGUAAUGUGAACUAAAUAUGUUGACUCAAGAUGAGGUCAUGAGUCUUCCAAACCACCUUAUUUAUACACUAAAAAUAUUAUAUAAAUUUACUGUGGUAAAAAAAAUGACCUCGAUUAUAUGUGGUUGAAUAAAUAAGUUGUUUUGUAAUUAUUUAGUUUCAAC
rnacentral:lncRNA from 1 species